GCCUUUCAGUUUGAGACCAUCCAACAAAACAACCUCUAACAACCAAAUAAAAGAACUAGACCGAAGAGAUAAGGGGCACUUUACAGAGUAACAAAAGAAUAAGUUCUCCUCCUUAUAUUGUGCAGGUUUUUCCUUGACACAUUUUUGCCUCUCCACCCAAUCCAAUCUACCUUUUUUUUUUUUUUUUUUUUAGCAAUUUGUAAUCUCUUACACCAGAUCAAUCCAUGGCUGCAAAUCCUGAUGGCUGCUCAUAGGGACUGCAAAUAUUGUGGUCACCACAUAGCCUUUCGUGAGCUCCAAGGUGGCACCCCAAGCUCGGAAUGAUCAACCUGUUACGCACUUCAGAAAGCGACCAUCUCCCUUUUUUCUUUCUUGGC
rnacentral:lncRNA from 1 species